rnacentral:rRNA from 1 species
GAUGAACGCUGGCGGCGUGCCUAAUACAUGCAAGUCGAGCGAACGGACGAGAAGCUUGCUUUUCUGAUGUUAGCGGCGGACGGGUGAGUAACACGUGGAUAACCUACCUAUAAGACUGGGAUAACUUCGGGAAACCGGAGCUAAUACCGGAUAAUAUUUUGAACCGCAUGGUUCAAAAGUGAAAGACGGUCUUGCUGUCACUUAUAGAUGGAUCCGCGCUGCAUUAGCUAGUUGGUAAGGUAACGGCUUACCAAGGCAACGAUGCAUAGCCGACCUGAGAGGAUGAUCGGCCACACUGGAACUGAGACACGGUCCAGACUCCUACGGGAGGCAGCAGUAGGGAAUCUUCCGCAAUGGGCGAAAGCCUGACGGAGCAACGCCGCGUGAGUGAUGAAGGUCUUCGGAUCGUAAAACUCUGUUAUUAGGGAAGAACAUAUGUGUAAGUAACUGUGCACAUCUUGACGGUACCUAAUCAGAAAGCCACGGCUAACUACGUG